ensembl:rRNA 5S_rRNA 5S ribosomal RNA
AACACACCCGAUCUCGUCUGAUCUCGGAAGAUAAA